AGAAGAACCACAGUUUACUGUGACUAAAACCGCUUGAAAUCAGAGACAACAGGUGGCCAGCUGUUCCUCUCACAGCUCCAGGUGUUUUCCCUGUGUUCUUACGACGUAGUUUGUGUUACCUGCUUGCCUGCAUACCUGCCUUCUAUCUUUUCCAGCCAUCUGCCUUGCUGCUGGAUUAAAAAUAAGCAAACGCAGUUUCCUCUCCAGUGUUUUCUGAAAAUGACCAGAUACAAGAUAAGCCUCUUUGUGUGCAUAUGUGUAAACACUCACCAAGGUGU